rnacentral:lncRNA from 1 species
GUGGGUACCAGGGAUUGAACUCGGGGGCACUCAACCAUUGAGCCACAUCCCAACCCUAUUUUGAAUUUUAUUUAGAGACAGGGUUUCACUGAGUUGCUUAGCACCUCCCCAUUGCUGNUGUUGAGAGCCACAGCCAAAGGGGCCCCAGCAAACUUCCAGCUGCCAGCAAACUUCCAGCUGCUGGCUGAUGAUUGGCUCACAGCGGCCCCAGCAACAUCUAGCUGAUUGGCUCCUCGGCCCCAGCAACAUCUAGCUGAUUGGCUCCUCUGCGGUGAUGCUCAUUGGACUGUUUCCCUGCCCUUUCAGACCUCGGAGCUGCUCAUUGGGGGACUUUUUUGGCUCCGCCCACGUGACCCAGCCAAUCGGCCUCAAGAGCAGGAGGAUUGUGGGAGGUGGAGAGAAGCUUGUGGGGGAGAGAGAGGCUUGUGGAAAGCCGGUGGUGGCAGUUGAGGCUCUGAGGGUUUUUCCUGAGAGACUAUUUUGUUUGUCGUGUGUGGUUCUAAAAAUAAAGUUAGUUUCUUUUGACAAGUGGCUCCUGAUUGUGCCCAGCCAGACUGCGGCACCUAAGUACUAGGGAUAGAGCCCAGGGGCACUCUACUAUUGAGCUACACCCCCAGCCCUUUUUAAAUUUUGAGACAGGGUCUCACUAGAUUAUACAGGCUGGCCUGGAACUUGAAAUCUUCAUGCCUCUGACCCUCGCCCCGCCAAGCUGCAGAGGUUACAGGCAUGGUCCCCUGCACCUGGCCCUAGAAUUUUCUUUACUGCCUCUGGGCUGUUCUUUGCACCACAGAAGUAUAUUAUACUUCAUAUCAUUAUUAGAGAAGGCAAAGUUAACAAAGAUAGGCCUAUACUUGGUGAAUUCUUAGAAAGUAUAUGUUGACAGGUACAAACACAGGAUUAACCAUCCUUAGAAAUCUCGCAGAACUCAUUGACUCACCAAAUAUUUAUUAAGCUCCUACUAUGGAUUUUGUGUGUGUGUGUGUGUGUGUAUGUGUGGUGUUGGGGAUUGAACCUAGGGCCUUGUGCAUAUACCAACUGAGCUAUAUCUCCUGCCCUAAGCUCCUACUAUGGAAAUAUUGGUAAAUACAUAACUGGUUCAUUGCAACUUUAAUAUAUGAUAUAACAUGUAUUUCCAGACCUUAAGGUCACCUUCUGGAUUUCCAGCCCUGACCACCACUAUGGUCUCAGAUCUAGCUUUCUUUGGUACAUCUACACCCAAAUGAUCCAUAGGUAUUUGGGUUGCAAACUGAACUCAAGUUCCUUCUGAACCUCACUCCCAUUACUCAGAGAAACAGAAUCUGAACCCAGGUGUGCUGUCUACUAAGUUGGAUCCUCAUCCCUUUUUAUUUUGAGUCAGGGUCUAAGUUGCUGAGGCUGGCCUCAAACUUGAGGUCCUUCUGCCUCAGCCUCCAAAGUUGCUGGGACUACAGGUGUGCAUCACUGCACCUGACUCUCAGAGGAUGUUAACCACCUAUCUAUUCAGCACCAAUAGUCAUAUUGGAUUCCAUCUUCAAUCCCCACAGUCAAUAAAUCAUUAUAUUCUGUUUGCAAAAUCUAGCCCCCUCAUCUUCAUCCUCUCACUAACCUAGUUCAGGCUGCCAUCUUUCAUUUGUUCACUCACUAUUUUUUUUUUGAGAGAGAAUUGUUUUCAAUAUUUAUUUUUUUAGUUUUCGGUGGACACAACAUCUUUAUUUUAUGUGGUGCUGAGGAUCGAACCCAGCGCCCCGCGCAUGCCAGGCGAGCGCGCUACCACUUGAGCCACAUCCCCAGCCCUUACUCACUAUUUUUUAAACACAUACCAUGUACCAUUCAUCUUUUAGGCUUUGGAAUUAUAUCAGUGAACAAACAAAAUUCCUAUUUGCAUGGAACUUUCAUUGAAGUGGAGAGAGAAAAUAAAAUAAGCAAAAUGCAUAUUGUUAGAGUGACAGGUGCAUAGGAGAAAUAAAUAAGUCAUGCAGGGAAAUAUGAUGUUCACAGGUGGUGGCUGAAAGACUUCCAUGAGAAGGUGACUUUUGAGUAAGUCGUUGAGAAAAAAUGAUGGAGCUACUUCUGUGCCUUUCUAGGGGAAGAGCAUUCCAGAGAACAAAGCACAUGGAAAAGUCCUGGCAUAGAAGUAUGAUAGGCAAGCCAGGCACAGUAGUGCAAGCCUGUAAUUCCAGCAGCUCCAGAGGAUGAGACAGAAGAAUAGUGAGUUCAAAACCAGGUUCAGCAACUUAGUAAGGCUCUAAGCAACUCAGUGAGACCCUGUCUCUAAAUCAAAUACAAAAACGACUGGGGAUGUGGCUCAGUGGUUAAGUGCCCCUGGGUCUAAUCCCCAGUAACAACAACAAAAAAAAAGUAGUAUGCCUGUCUUGUUACAGCUUGGCAAAGAGACCUGUGUGGCUGCAGAGCAAGCCAGGGAAGAGUAGAAGGGGAUGGAAUAACAGUGCAGUAGCACAUACCUGUAAACCUAGCACCCAAGAGGCUGAGGCAGGAAGAUCGCAAGUUCAAGCCCAGCCUUAACAACUUAGUGAGACCCUGUCUCAAAAUGAUAAUAAUAAGAAAUGGGAAUGUAGCUCAGUGGUAAAGCACCCCUGCGUUAAUUCCCUAGUACCCAAAAAAGGAGGGGGGAUGCACAUGGAAAGCACAUGUAAGUCUUUGAGAAAAAAAUGAUGGAGCUACCCCUGUGCCUUUCUAGGGGAAGAGCAUUCCAGAGAACAAAGCACAUGGAAAAGUUCUGGCAUAGAAGUAUGAUAGGCAAGCUAGGCAAGCCUGUAAUUAGAGAACUAACAAGGUCAAGAUUCCAUGUGGUACAGUUAGCAAUUGAGACUUCUUUGGUGCGGGGGGACAUGGAACUUUUAUUCCAAAUGAUAUAGGAGCCUUUGCAAAGUUUUUGAGAAGAGGUUUGACAACAAAAUAAUAGGACUGCUCUGCUACUCAGUUGAGAAGAACCCAAAGCAGGGAAGGGGGAGAAGAAAGGAGGGAAAUCAGGCUAUUGUGAUAAUCUAGUAUAGAGCUGAUAGCAGCGUGGAACAAAGUGGUAGCAGUGCAGGCUGCUAGAAGUGAUUGAAUUCUGGACAUAUUUUGUAGGUAGAGCCAAAAAUUUGCUGACUGACCAGAUGUGGGGUUUGGCAGAAGAGUCAAAGGUUCCUUAAGCAACUGGAAGGAUGGGGCUGUCACUGAGAUAGGGAAAUCUGCAAGAAAAAUGUGUGUGUGCACAAGUGUAUGAGCAUGCAUCAGCAGAGGAGGCUAUAAGGAGUUCAGUGUUGGACAUGUAAAGACAUAAGACUGAAUGAGAUCGCCAUGAGAAUGAGUACAGAUUGAAGAGAAGACCCACAAUGAUUGAACUCUGGGGUACUCAAGCAUUUAGAAGUGAGACAGGGAAGAAUCAACUAGUAAGAUUCUGAAGCAGAGCUGGGUGUGGUGGUGCACACCUGUAAUCUCAGUGGCUAGGGAGGCCGAGGCAGGAGGAAAGUAAGUUCAAAGCCAGCCUUGGCAACUUAGCAAGGCCCUAAGCAACUUAGUGAGACUCUGUCUCUAAAUAAAGUCUAAAUAUAAAAAGGGCUGUGGAUGUGAUUCAGUGGUUAAGCACCCCUGGGUUCAAUCCCCAGUACCAAAAAUAGAAAAAGAAAAGAAAUUCCGAAGCAUUAGUCUGAAAGGGGAAAAAAAAAAACACAAGCAACUAUGGUGUUCUGGAAACAAAAUGAAGAAAAUACUACAGGCAGGAGUCAACGAAGACAAAUAUUGACAUGUUGGAUAAGAUCAGCUCAGAAAGGUCACCCAUUAUAUGAUUCCCUUUAUAUGAAAUGUUCAAAAUAGAAAAACCCAUACAGAUAGAAAGAUUAGUGCUUACCUAGUGCUGGAGGAGGGGGAGAAUGGAGAAUAGUUGCUAAUGGGUAUGAAUAUCUUUUUGGAUGACAAAAAUGUUCUGGAAGUAGCUGGCUACAGUGACAUGACAGUAAUCCCAGGGACUCAGACUGAGGCAGGAGGAUCACAAGUUGGAGGCCAACCUCAGCAAUUUAAUGAGACCCUCUCUCAAAAAAAGUAAAAAGGGCUGGGAUGUAACUAGGUGGUAGAGCAGCCCUGGGUUAAUCCCCAUUAUAUCACACCCCCCCCCCCAACCCGGCAAAAUGUUCUGGAAUUGGUGAUGUCUGGAAUAUACUAAAAUCCACUAAUGGGUAUGUUUGGGAAUGGUGAUUUGAUGGUAUGUGAACUAUACCUCAAUUUUAAAAUAGAAUAGGAAGCCAGCAUGUAUGAUUUUUGUCAAAAUGAACCCAACUACUAUGUAUAAUUAUAAUGCUAUAAUAAAAAAGAGUAAUAAGGCAGAUAUAUUGGCACAUACCUAUAGUCCCAGCUCUUUGGGAGGCUGGGGCAAGAGAAUCAGAAGUUCCAGGCCAUUCAGGGCAACACAGCAAGAGCUUAUCAGAGCUUAUCUCUUAAAAAAAAAAAAAAAAAGAACAGGAGGUGAGGAAUUGGAAACAAUGAGUACAGACAAAUCUUUCCCAGAGUUCUGUUUUAAAGGGAAGGACAGAAAGCAGUAAUCAUGGGCUGGGGAUGUGGCUUAGUUGGUAGAGUGAGGAUGUAGCUCAGCAGCAGAAUACUUGCCUAGCAUGUACAAGGCCUUAGGUUCCAUCCCCAGAAUUCCAAAAACAAUAAAGCAAGUUUGCCUAGAAAAUAUUAAGAGAAAAAUACCAGAAGUAAACAAUUCAUAAGUUUUAAAUUGUGUAUUAUUCAUAAUGGAAGAUGGGCAUUAUCCCAUUGUCUAACACAUCCACACUAUAUAUUCUACCUGCCCAGUAAUCAGUAGCCUUCUGGGUUAAUAGAUCAACUCUUGCAAUAUUAUAGUACCUAUUUUUGAGUAACCCUUAUUUUACUUACACCACAAGAGCAGUGAUGUUGACAAUUCAGAUAUACCAAAGAAAAUCUGUAAACUGCUUCUUUUAAGUGAAAAAAUGGAAGAUUCUUACUUAGGAAACUUUUAUAGCUUUGUAUCCUGAGGUUAGUAAGAGCUAUAAUAAGAAGGAAUCUUCUAUCCAUGAAACUGUGAAGGAAAAAGCAAUUCAUACUAAUUUUUCUAUCACACCUAAAACUGCAAAAUACUGCUGUGGUAUGUAUAUGUAAUAUGUAUAUAUUUAGAGAAAAAAAUUAGUAUACGUAGGGUUUGGUACUACCUGCAAUUUUAGGUCUCCCUGGGGAUCUCAGAAUGUAUCUCCCACAGAUAAGGGGGGAUUUCUAUAGCACAGAUUGAGCAGAUUAAAUAAUAGAAACUUAUUUUCUCACACAUCUACAGAUUAGAAGUCCAAGAUCAAGAGGUUUGGGAGGUUUGGUUUCUCUUAAGACCCCUAUCCUUUAGAAUCACUCUCCUUAUAUCAGAGAAAAUAUUCGGCAUUUGUUUUUUUUUGGGGGGGGGAUUGGAACUUCACUUAGCAUUAUCUUCUCAACGCCAUCCAUUUACCUACAAAUGCCAUGAUUUUAUUCUCUUUUAUUGCUGAGUAAUAUAUUCCAUUGUAUAUAUAUGCCACAUUUUUAAUCCAUUCAUAGUGGAGUAGGG